AGCCAUGGAAGGUUUCUGCUUCGUCUUUCCUGUCUAUUGAAAAGCACAAGAAGACAUUCUGCUUACUCGCUCCUUGUUGCGUGCACACAAGCAAGGUUUUAUUUUCUGAAAUUGGAAACUAUUUUUUACAAAGGUACCUUGGACAGACUUGCACCCAGGAUGUCAGUGCAUGCGACAAGCAUCUUGGAUCCUGAAGCACCUGAGCAGGGGGUUGUCUGGAGCUCGUCCUUUCACAGAAGAGGAAAAUGUACAGCAGGGAACCUCAAUGAGUACCCUGGCGUGCAUGGAGAUGGACCAUCCUGAUCUAGAACAUGAUUUUCUUAAGCAGACACUGUAUGAUUUAACUAAGACAUUUCUCUUUGAACUGCUUUAGCUACAGAGAUUAUGGCAAUUUUUAAAAAUGCAUACUUCAAGAACAAUUGAUAUUUAACAUUUGUUAUGGCCACAUGGAGGCCAUGCCUGUUUGUUGGAGUUAGAAUAAACAUCUGUGCACUCAAACAUCCCUCCCAGCCAUUUACAGACUUGAAGGACAGAUGAGAAGCUACUGGGGAACAAGCACCUCCCAGGAGCCAGAAGCUAUGUCAUCUCCAGUCCUUGAAACAAGUACAGAGGCAGAUACUUAAAUCCACUAAGCAGAAGUGGAGAGUACUAAGCACAGAGCAAUUUAGGUGCCAUGUGACCACUUACUACAAUCCUGCUUAGGUACCUACCAUGCCUCUUCCUCCCCAGCCAGUCUGCCCCCAGCCUUCCUGGGUCACACACUCCAGCUUUUAGCCUCAAUUUGUACUGGGAGAGCCCAAGCGCCCCCUCCUUGGCCUCUUCUUUGGAGUAGGGUUGAGUAUGGCUCCGAUGGGAAAGGCACAUCAUGUGAUUAGUAUCAGUCAGUCCAGAGCCUUGGCUUCUAAUGGUCUUGACUCCUGAGCACCCUUGUUGGUCGAAACAAAUGAUUCAGUACUUUGAUUUUGGUAGGCAAUAAAAAAGGCUUUCCCACUCAAAAGAUAAUGAUUGUCAUUCCAGCCACAGUUUAAAAAAUAAUUGAUGACACAUCUCCUUAAAACUCCAUAAUGUGUAAAGUCACUCAGGAAAUUGCUUGGCACUGAAGAUAAAUCAGUCGGUGUUGGUAAAUCACUCCAACGAAAGCCCUGUUGAAUAAAAGUUGUCAGCGAAAUCGGCACUGGUACUACAAAGAAUACAAUUUCCACAUCUUGAAGAUGGGAAUUGUCCCUCAAAGGGGAGCAUAAAGGAUUAAAUAUGGUAAUAUAUGUAAAGUACUUGGAUUAAAUAUGUUAAUGUAUGUAAAACACCUGCACUGGGUAAACACCCCCACCAUGUUCAGCCAUGGACAACGUUACAUGGGAUGAAAUUCUGACCUUGACACUUAACAAGCCUUGGUUUACAUUAGAAUAACUUUGUGGUUACAGUGUUGAACUCCCCCACUCCCAGCCCUCUGCUUUAAAAUAAAUGUUUUCAAAACCAGAAAACCUAGGUUGGUAUAGAAUAAUAGCUUAUGGCUAUUCUUUUAUUAAAAAUCCCAUCAACCCUAAAAAUUUAAAAUAAAAUCAAAUCACUGUACUUUGGGGAGCUCUCUGCUCAAAUAAUUUAGGAAAAUGGUGUGUUAAACAUUUAAUAUUGCUGUCAUCCAUCUCAGAGCUUUUAUAUGCUAAUAUGUAUGCCCUAUAUACAUAUUAUACUAACACAGAUGGCAUGCAGUAUUUUCCAAACUUGUGUGAACAUGGACCCUGGUAUUUAAACAACCAUUUCCUGUAACUAGCAUUGUGCCUGGCAAUUUUGAAAAAAAAAAUGAUGAUUGCCUAAAGUAUUAAAGUCCUGACAUUUCUUUCAUUUAGCACCUAAGAGCCCUCUUAUUAAUUUUCCCUGGUGAAAACCUUGUCCUUGGUGGCUCAUUUGCAUUCUGCAUGCUCAUUUUACUCAUCAGCCCAGAACAAUUGUAUAUGAUUCUGUCUGCAAUGUAUACUUUAGGAGAGAAAACUAUAACAUGGGGGUAAAUCCUAUAGGGCUGUGUAAUAAUGAGUUCCAGGAGUUGCCCCUGCCUUCCUGGGCUCCCCCAGAGAUCUUGGGGAGUUCAGCUUGGGAUCCUCUGAUUGUCUAGCACACCCAGAGGCCUUGUUUAACUUGGCUUAGCUUUUUGUGACUGGAGGAGCCAUCCAAGGGACUCCAAGCUUCUGCAUGGAAUACAUAAUUUCCUAGGGUUCUGGCCAGAGAGUCUGUGGCUGUGAAAGCUGCCUUCAGUUUG
ensembl:lncRNA